CAAUUUUAUGAUGAUUUUUACCGCCCCAGUCUGAUUACUCUGAUGACUGGUUAUGUAACUGAAAAUUG
ensembl:snoRNA SNORD31 Small nucleolar RNA SNORD31